rnacentral:rRNA from 1 species
GACGAACGCUGGCGGCGUGCUUAACACAUGCAAGUCGAACGAAGUGGCGCACGGGUGAGUAACGCGUAAUACACCUGCCCUUCAGAGGGGGCCAACAGUUGGAAACGACUGCAAAUACCCCAUACAGAAGGAGGUGAUUGCGUCUGAUUAGCGAGUUGGAGGGGUAACGGCAGCCAAAGGCGAUGAUCAGUAGCCGGGCUGAGAGGAUGAACGGCCACAUUGGGACUGAGACACGGCCCAGACUCCUACGGGAGGCAGCAGUGGGGAAUCUUCCGCAAUGGACGAAAGGCUGACGGAGCAACGCCGCGUGAGUGAUGACGGCCUUCGGGUUGUAAAGCUCUGUUAAUCGGGACGCGGUACCGGAAUAGAAAGCCACGGCUAACUACGUGCCAGCAGCCGCGGUAAUUC